GGUGAGUCCAGGCAGUCUUCAUCAACAUGUAGCAAAAGAAGCUGCAGGGCCUUGGACACCAAAAAAGCUGUAAGGUCUUAUGGAGCUGAAAAGAGCUACUGAUUACCUAACCCUGUUCUGCACGUUAUCGUCUGAAUCUGACUGAGCACUGACUGAAUCUGCUGAGCAUCCUGCACCACCCGAUACUGCCUAGGGGAGAAGGAAGACUCAGGUUCUCAGGGAGCUGAUGAUCAAUCUGUGCCUUGGCUGGCCUGCCACCCAUCUCUGAGUCCCUCGUCCUUGCCAGGCGGCCCUGCGGAAGGGGCUCACCGCGAGCCAGGAGCAGACACCCUCUCGCCCUCUUGGGAAAGCGGAUCAGGCCGGCUUCUGGGGCGCUCCCUGCACCCCGCCACCUUCUGGGACCUCCGCUGAGAGCCGCGCUUGGGGCACCGCCGGGCCAGCCUCCAACCCCGCCCCCGACAAGGCAGAGCCCGAGACACACGUAGGCCUUUUGUUGUCUCUCUUCUGCUAACUGGCCAGUACUGGGCUGCAUUUCUGUGGCUUCAUUAGAAAGGACUUUGGGAUUAAGAAUCCCAUAAAAAUGGAAAUCAUUUUAUCGAAAGGAAAAAAAUGCAAGUAUGUAUGAGAUGAUGAGAAAUUUCAUACAAGCUCUCAAUAUUAUUGCAUAUGCUCUUUUUACUGGGUGUGUAUGAUAGGUGACAAAUAUGGACACUUGCUUUCUUAUUGGCAUGGUCCUGGAUUGACGCCUGUAAUACUUCAUUACUGGAUUAUCUCCACAGUUCUCUAACUGGUCCUCCACCUCUAGUCUUGCUUUGCUGUCACACUGUUCAAAAUACACUGCAGGAUACUACCACAUACCUAGAUAAAGGCUAAAAUGAAAAAGACAAUACCGAAGUUGGCAAGGAUGUGGGGCAACUGGAACUUCUUAGACUGCUGGUGGGAGCGUGAAUGGGAACAGGUCCUGGGAGAAAUGUUUAGCAGUAUCAACUAAAGGUGAAGAGCAGCC
rnacentral:lncRNA from 1 species